UGGGGAUAGAGAGACUUGAACUCUCACGGUUCAAUGGAAGUUGUACCUUUAAGUCCGUUGCGUCUGCCGAUUCCGCCAUAUCCCC
rnacentral:tRNA from 1 species